GACGAACGCUGGCGGCGUGCCUAAUACACGCAAGUAGAACGCUGAAGGAGGAGCUUGCUUCUCUGGAUGAGUUGCGAACGGGUGAGUAACGCGUAGGUAACCUGCCUGGUAGCGGGGGAUAACUAUUGGAAACGAUAGCUAAUACCGCAUAAGAGUAGAUGUCGCAUGACAUUUGCUUAAAAGGUGCAAUUGCAUCACUACCAGAUGGACCUGCGUUGUAUUAGCUAGUUGGUGAGGUAACGGCUCACCAAGGCAACGAUACAUAGCCGACCUGAGAGGGUGAUCGGCCACACUGGGACUGAGACACGGCCCAGACUCCUACGGGAGGCAGCAGUAGGGAAUCUUCGGCAAUGGACGGAAGUCUGACCGAGCAACGCCGCGUGAGUGAAGAAGGUUUUCGGAUCGUAAAGCUCUGUUGUAAGAGAAGAACGAGUGUGAGAGUGGAAAGUUCACACUGUGACGGUAUCUUACCAGAAAGGGACGGCUAACUACGUG
rnacentral:rRNA from 1 species